rnacentral:rRNA from 1 species
CCUUCGGGGUACUCGAGCGGCGAACGGGUGAGUAACACGUGAGUAACCUGCCCCAGGCUUUGGGAUAACCCCGGGAAACCGGGGCUAAUACCGGAUAUGACUGGCUGCCGCAUGGUGGUUGGUGGAAAGAUUUUUUGGCUUGGGAUGGGCUCGCGGCCUAUCAGCUUGUUGGUGGGGUGAUGGCCUACCAAGGCGGCGACGGGUAGCCGGCCUGAGAGGGCGACCGGCCACACUGGGACUGAGACACGGCCCAGACUCCUACGGGAGGCAGCAGUGGGGAAUCUUGCACAAUGGGCGGAAGCCUGAUGCAGCGACGCCGCGUGAGGGAUGACGGCCUUCGGGUUGUAAACCUCUUUCAGCAGGGACGAAGCGUUUGUGACGGUACCUGCAGAAGAAGCGCCGGCCAACUACGUGCCAGCAGCCGCGGUAAGACGUAGGGCGCAAGCGUUGUCCGGAUUUAUUGGGCGUAAAGAGCUCGUAGGCGGCUUGUCGCGUCGACUGUGAAAACCCGUGGCUCAACUGCGGGCUUGCAGUCGAUACGGGCAGGCUAGAGUUCGGUAGGGGAGACUGGAAUUCCUGGUGUAGCGGUGAAAUGCGCAGAUAUCAGGAGGAACACCGGUGGCGAAGGCGGGUCUCUGGGCCGAUACUGACGCUGAGGAGCGAAAGCGUGGGGAGCGAACAGGAUUAGAUACCCUGGUAGUCCACGCUGUAAACGUUGGGCGCUAGGUGUGGGGAGCCUCUCC